rnacentral:rRNA from 1 species
ACAAUGGAGAGUUUGAUCCUGGCUCAGGAUGAACGCUAGCGGCAGGCCUAAUACAUGCAAGU